UCGGGAAUAUUGCGCAAUGGAGGAAACUCUGACGCAGUGACGCCGCGUAUAGGAAGAAGGUUUUCGGAUUGUAAACUAUUGUCGUUAGGGAAGAUAAAAGACAGUACCUAAGGAGGAAGCUCCGGCUAACUACGUGCCAGCAGCCGCGGUAAUACGUAGGGAGCAAGCGUUAUCCGGAUUUAUUGGGUGUAAAGGGUGCGUAGACGGGUGAACAAGUUAGUUGUGAAAUCCCUCGGCUUAACUGAGGAACUGCAACUAAAACUAUUUAUCUUGAGUGUUGGAGAGGAAAGUGGAAUUCCUAGUGUAGCGGUGAAAUGCGUAGAUAUUAGGAGGAACACCAGUGGCGAAGGCGACUUUCUGGACAAUAACUGACGUUGAGGCACGAAA
rnacentral:rRNA from 1 species